rnacentral:rRNA from 1 species
GUUAUUUAAUACGUUUCUAAGAGUCGAGUUGUUUGGGAAUGCAGCUCUAAAUGGGUGGUAAAUUUCACCUAAUGCUAAAUAUAAGCGAGAGACCGAUAGCGAACAAGUACAGUGAUGGAAAGAUGAAAAGAACUUUGAAAAGAGAGUUAAAUAGUACGUGAAAUUGUUGAAAGGGAAACGAUUGAAGUCAGUCAUGCCGGUGGGAAUCAACUUAGAGGAAACUCUGAGUGCACUUCUUCGCUUGGCAGGUCAACGUCGAUUUUGGAUGUCAUAAAAUGAUUGGGGGAAGGUAGCUCCUUCGGGAGUGUUAUAGCCCUUGGUAGAUGUGAUGUCUGGGAUCGAGGAUUGCAAUGGAUACCCUUUGGGGCUAGCCGCCUGAUCUCUAAUCUGGUAUUGGGUUACGGAUAGCAUGCUGACCGUGAUCUAAUUAUUGGUUAAAAGGUUAGAGCGUGCAUAAAUUCGUUAAGGAUGUU